GACGAACGCUGGCGGCGUGCUUAACACAUGCAAGUCAAGCGGAAAGGCCCUUUCGGGGGUACUCGAGCGGCGAACGGGUGAGUAACACGUGAGUAAUCUGCCCCUGGCUUUGGGAUAGCCACCGGAAACGGUGAUUAAUACCGGUUACGACCACUUCUCGCAUGGGAUGGUGGUGGAAAGUUUUUCGGCCAGGGAUGUGCUCGCGGCCUAUCAGCUUGAUGGUGAGGUAAUGGCUCACCAUGGCCUCGACGGGUAGCCGGCCUGAGAGGGUGACCGGUCACACUGGGACUGAGACACGGCCCAGACUCCUACGGGAGGCAGCAGUGGGGAAUAUUGGACAAUGGGCGGAAGCCUGAUCCAGCAACGCCGCGUGAGGGAUGACGGCCUUCGGGUUGUAAACCUCUUUCAGCAGGGACGAAGCGCAAGUGACGGUACCUGCAGAAGAAGCACCGGCCAACUACGUGCCAGCAGCCGCCGUAA
rnacentral:rRNA from 1 species